rnacentral:lncRNA from 1 species
UUUAGCUAUAAUGGGCGGAGCCACAGUGCAUCCUCAGCUAUCAGCAGUACCAAUGGACUCAUUAAAAACAAGACUAGCUUUUUAUUUUCCAAACAUCUUCAAGAGUUCAAUGAAACAACCAGGAGAUGUUUGAAAAAAUGUAUUCCCAGCUGUUACUGAGAAGUACUUUCCAUCCUAAGCCGUCCUGGAUGCUGACUGGAUUUCAUAAGAUCAGAGACUUCCAGGAUGACAGACCAACUGACCAACCAGCGGCAGGAAGGGGAAAUCGGAUCUCACUGUUGAACAAAGCUGUUCUUUUAAACAUGAAAAGAAGUGAUUAUGAAGGUAUUCAUUGUCCCCUUUAGGGACAGAACUUAACUGCUGAGGGGUACAGAAGUU